UUACUUCUCAUGUGAUGUAGGCUUCCCUCUUGUCUCCUUGUCCAGACUGCUCACCAGAAGCUCAGCCCAAAUACGUUAGAGGCGGGAAGCGUUAUGGACGGAGAUCCCUGCCCGAGUUUCAAGAGUCUGGGGAAGAGUUUGCAGAGGUGACAGUGCUUGAGCCACUGGAGGAAGAAGCCAGGCCAUCACACAUCCCAGCUGGUGACUGCAGUGAGCACUGGAAGACACAACGCAGUGAGGAGUAUGAAGCGGAAGGUAAGAGAAAGCGGUGGGUUUGGGGGACUGCUGAGGAGGGAAAGCCCUGGCUGCUAUGGCUAAGACAGUCUGUGCACUCGAGUUCCGCUCCUCCUUGCAUUAGAAGGAAGCCGCGUGCUAACAUUAGGACCAACAGCAACAGAAAAAAAAAAAAUCAUUUCCAAGUGACACCUCACACUCUUCAAACCCUGACUGUUAACAUUAUAGGAAAGAUAGCAGCCAAUAUAUACCAGUCCACUUAUAGAGGACGACUGCAGUGCAGGCUGCCAGAGGGACUUGUGAGCAUCCCCAGCAUGCAAGUGUCCAGUAUCUAUAGACUACGAAGCAGAGCACGACAGUCGUGUGGCCACCAGAUGGCACUGUGGUUUAGCUCACUUUCUUCCCUAACCCCAGAUGAAGUGUGGAUAAGUAUAAUUAAAACAGUGUGUUCUCUGGCUCUCCAGCCUGGAAUAAUAGUACAGUAAUGGCUUUAAAUUCUGUCAAUAAAUAUCAGGAAUGACACUGAGUGACCCUUACAGUCUUCCAUGGUUCUCCCAGGUACAUAAAAUCAUGCCC
rnacentral:lncRNA from 1 species